UACGUAGGGUGCGAGCGUUGUCCGGAAUUACUGGGCGUAAAGAGCUCGUAGGUGGUUUUUGUCGCGUUGUUUCGUGAAAACCUGAGGCUUAACCUUUGGGCGUGCGGGCGAUACGGGCAGACUGGAGUACUGCAGGGGAGACUGGAAUCCUGGUGUAGCGGUGGAAUGCGCAGAUAUCAGGAGGAACACCGGUGGCGAAGGCGGGUCUCUGGGCAGUAACUGACGCUGAGGAGCGAAAGCGUGGGGAGCGAACAGG
rnacentral:rRNA from 1 species